rnacentral:rRNA from 1 species
UACGAAGGGGGCUAGUGUUGCUCGGAAUCACUGGGCGUAAAGGGUGCGUAGGCGGGUCUUUAAGUCAGGGGGGAAAUCCUGGAGCUCAACUCCAGAACUGCCUUUGAUACUGAGGAUCUUGAGUUCGGGAGAGGUGAGUGGAACUGCGAGUGUAGAGGUGAAAUUCGUAGAUAUUCGCAAGAACACCAGUGGCGAAGGCGGCUCACUGGCCCGAUACUGACGCUGAGGCACGGAAGCGUGGGGAGCAAACAGG